CCUGGGCAGCUCUGCUGGAAAAAAAGGUAAGAAAUUGAAAAUGUUAAAAGCAGCUCACUGUAGAGAAGCUGCAUCUCCAGAGCCACUUGACCAAAUGAGCCCAAAUUCACUCCACAGAUUCUACCUCUUCCCCUGGUGUGACGCAGCGUUAUCAAGGCAAUCUGCCUGUGCACGUGCAUGAUGGAGCACUCUGAGAAAUAGACUCUGUAGAGAAAGUGCCACUGAACUUUGAUCAUGGAAGUGCCACCACUUCUAUGGGCACCAGCUUCAUUCACCAUGUAAUUCUUCCUCAUUCACCGUCUGCACCAUCAUAUUUGUUGUGUUACCCCCAGCCCCUGUGUCCCACCAAUGACGGUAGCUUUGUUCUUGUUGCCUCUUUGUCCAAACUUCUCCCACAGUCAUCGAUGUGCUUUCUUUCAUGCCAUCCCCUACAUAUGGAAUUGCCUUCCCCAUAUCAAUCUGGAAGAAGGCUCCCCUUGUCCUUAAAGUUUUCCCCGUCAAGAUCUACCUUUUGCUGCAACACUUUCAUACUUAUUACUUGGUUCUUUUAUCAAUAAGACCUCAGAUAAUCACACUCAGUCAAAUUUAUUACCAAAGCUUUUUAGUUAAAGAUUAAUCAGCACAAACAUAGCAGGGGAAGAGGUUAAAUGCUUUAACGCUUCAACUCAGGAGGACAGUUGCAACCUAGUCUGCUUCAAAAUGUUAAUUCACUAUUGCCCAUGUAUGUACCUUGUCUGUUACCAUGGCCACAAAUAUCCCAAAUUAGUUAGCAUCAUUACACACCCUAAUGUUUCCCUUCCCAAACAGUUUGCGCUUGCUGUUCAAGGUUACUUGAAAUUUGUACCCAGUUUUUUUGCAACAGUUAUACUAGUUGCUUAUUUCUCUCACAAACCUCAGCAGAAAAUGAUCUUGUCCUUGGCCAUCUUUACAAAUGGCAACAAGAAACAGCCAUACACAGCAAUGUAAUGUGUAUUUCAGUGCCAAGAGGCUGGGAAACUGAUUUUUCAACAUGUGUAAAUAUUGGGUAAAUAGUUUUGUUAACAACCUACAAGAAACUAGCCAAUUAAUAUUAGCUAGUUUGAGGGGCAGUUUACAGCCAUGUGUCAUGGUUUUUUGUUUAACGGUCCUUUCCAUCUCUAAUUGGUCAGUUUAUCUAAUUCAUUUUUUGCUUCCUGGCCAGGGCAAGAUUCUUUUCUCUUUCAAAUCCAGGGACUGAGAAGAGAUGGGCACAAACCUAGCACAUGAUUGGCACCUGUAUCUGGAGCUUAGUGAAGCCUUUCAAGGUUCUUGUGUCACUGUGGCUGGGAGCAGAGGCUUUUGGUUUCCACACAUAGAAUCUGGUCAGGGACCUGGAUUCAGGGUUCACCAUUGCUGAUGCCAUGAAUUCAGCACAGAAAUCCAGAAACAUGGCUCUACGGGCCCUUCAUUCUUGCCUAUGUGGCCAGAGAGAUGUUUAAUUUGGGGAGCAGCUUGUUUCUGUGUUCCAGCAUCACUGCAGAGAGGGUGUGGCCUUGGAAUGGAGCGAGAAGGAAGGUUAGUGCCCUGCAUCGGGGGGAGAGUCUCCUAUGCCCCUAGCACAAGAAAGUCUUGGAAGAAUUUUUUACACAUGGAGCUGCCUUCCAGACAGCUUUUUGCUUGGUUAAUUCAGAUGUGGAAAAAUGCAGCAGUUGGAAGUGCAAACCAUUUCUAAAAGGGCAGCCUGCACUGGAAAUCUAGUCAUCAGAUGGUUUCACAGCAAAAUCCUACCACCACGUCCCCUGCCAAUUUUUGUGUCAUAAACCACAUUUCCUUAUUCUCUUAGAAAUAUUUUUCUUUUUGCUGUAUUAUUAUGUGAAUCCUUCAGAUAACAGGAGAAGCUGAUUAGUGAAACUGAAAGUGUAUACAGAACUCGGGGUUUAACAGGUGUAUAUAAGCCAAGAGCAGUAUUAAAAUAUCUCUAUCGUCCCUUCUUCAUUUCCUGCCCCCCUCAAAAAACACACAUUGUGUCUGUACUCCAUUCAUGGCAGGGAAAUCCAGAGCUUUGAGGUCAGUUUCCAGGUUGUCACCAGACUCCCACAGGGGGACUGUGUUCCGUUAGUUAUGAAAGUCAUCAUGGUCAAGGUGGGUUAGAGGCUGGGAGCCAGGACUCCUGGGUUCUGUCUCUGGAAGGGGAGUGGGGGCUGGUGGGUUAGAGCAGGAGGUCUGGGAGCCAGGAUUCUUGGGGUCUGUUCCUGGCUUUUGCACUGAUCUUCAGCAAGUCUCCCCCUUUCCCGUUUAGGGACGAUACUGACAUCCCUGCUCUCCCAUAGUUAGGUUUAUGAAGAUUGAUUAAUGCUGUAAAAGUCCUCUGUUUUAAGUGCUAAAUAUUUAUUACGAAUUGAAGUGGUAGAGGCUGGGUCUAGUGUCCAAGACUUUCUGUGGUGAGGUGCAAUGCAUGGUAGCUGCACUGGAAGGGGUGGAGGGUUCAGGACUCAGCCCUAACCUGGAGAGCUGACUGACUUAUGCCUGCAAUGGGAUGAAAGGAGGGUUUUAGUGCGGAGGGGGGAUUUCCCCCCAUUGAUCAUUCUCUCCAUUCCAUUUCAGAACCAAAUAACAGUCUGAUUCCCGUUGUGGCUGGAGUUAUCUCUGCAGUUCUCCUGAUUGGUGGUAUAAUUGGAGUAGUCGUCUGGAAAAAGAAACGCCCAGGGAGAAAGGGAGACGGCUACGCUGUAGCUCAGGCAAAUGACCAAGGAUCUAGUGGCUCUGACGUAUCUGCCAAGGCUUAACAGAGCCUGUUGGAGUCUGUGCCACAACCUGAGGGGAUCCCAGAGAGGAAGAUUGAUGAGCUCUGCUCUGUCUCCCUAGAAGAACCAAUCAACCUCUCCCUAGUUUUUCUCUGGCACUUGGAGCGUCCCGUGUGGGAUUUCUGGCCUCAUCUCUCUGCUCACUGGACCACUUUUUACUUUGCAGAUGUAAUAGUUUUCUGUAAUCAUGUUUUAUUUUCAGAAAAUAAUUUCCAAAAUUUUAAUGGAUAAAAACUUUUAGUAAGAGUUUAGUAUUUGCUACAUUUAGUGUGUGCACUCAGUGCUCUGUGCUGUGCUGUUUGCACACCCUUUACCGUACGCUAGAUAUGUGAGCAGUAACUGCUUGUGUGUAUAUGGUGGGGGACGUGGUUUUUUUUCUGUAGAAUUUCAUGAUUAUAACAUGAUAAAUUGCCUCGUAUACUCGCAGCUGGUAGCGCUGUUGCCAUCAUCAGCUGAGGGCGUCUGUUGGACAGGAAGAAGUGUCUGUGUUUAGUUUAUAAGUGCCUCUAAUGUCCUUUUCACCAUUCAUAGAAAUGCUGGGUUAGUAGGGACCUCAAGAGGUCAUCAAGUCCAGCCCUGAUCUCAGGCAGCACCAAGUAAACCUAGACCAUCCCGGGACCCUGACAGGUGUUUGUCCAAGCUGUUCUUAAAAGGCUCCAAUGAUUCCACAUCCUCUCUAGGCAACCUGUGUGGUGAAGUGGGAUAUUUUCCUAACAUUGCGUAUGUAUACUGUGUGUGCCUCAGUCUCCCCAUGUGCUGCAUGUCUAACCAAGGUGGAAGGGGGGUGUCUGUUGUUGCAGAGGACCAGGUGUGACCCAGUCUAGCAGCCUGGACCCCAGGCCGUGGCCUGGACACUUUGUAACUUAGCAACUGAUGACCCGAAGGCCCAUCCCAACUUGGAGCCAGCCAGUUAUGGGCAGCAGAGAGAACAAAAAGCUGAAGAGAGAGUCGCCUGGAGAUUGGUUUGCCUGGGAAAGAAGACAAAGGAUGGAGGUGGGGCCUUGGAGGUGAUACAGGGUGGGCCACAGAAAGGAGGAGUCACUCCUGGGCUGGGAACAAAGAGCGGCCUCAGCCCACCUGGACGGGGACAGACCCAGAUGGACGCCCCUGAGAACGUCUUGUGCUGUGCUCCAGACGUACAAUAAACACAUCUGUGUUGCACUGGCUGAGAAUCACUGCAGGCUAGAGAGAGGCAGGCAUGCUGAAGGCUCAGACGUGCAGUACUGGGAGGCAGAGGAGAACCCUACAGCUUAAACCCCGAGCAAAGAGUGUGACCUGAUGUAGGGUCAGUACUCUGAAGGGCGGUUCCUCCCAGGGGCCAUACGGCACCAAGAGAGCACUGACCUGUGAAUCUGUGACAACCUGUUCCACAGUGAACUGUCCUUAUAGCUAGAAAGUUUUUCCUAAUGUCUAACCUAAAUUCCUCCUUCUCCUACUAUCAGUGCAAUUGGAGAACAAUUGAUCACCGUCCUCUUCAUAGCAGCCCUUAAUGCAGGGGUAGUUAAUUAUUUUUUGUCAAGGUCCAAAUUUCUUGGUCCAGAUAUAGUCACGGUCCAGACUCAAGAGAAACAUUUUUCACACCACAAGUGCCCAUGUUCAAUGAACACAUACACUGCUGUGAAAUAUACCCAGGGCCUAUAUUGUUUAUAUUCUUAGUGCAUUAAAUGAAAAAUAAAAUAAAAUCACUGUAUAGCCUAAAAUAACCUCCAAGAAAGAUUUAGUUUAUCUGAAACUUUAAGUAUUUAGAAAAAUGUCAAAUAGAUGCAAAUAUUAGCAUUAAAAAUACUUUCAGGCAA